rnacentral:snRNA from 1 species
GUGCGUGUUCGGUAGCACAUAUACUCAUAAUGGAACGAUUCAGAGAAGAUUAGCAUAGCUCCUGCACAAGGAUGACAUGCAAAUUCAUGAAGGGUUCCAUAUUAAA